UACGGGGGGAGCAAGCGUUGUUCGGAUUUACUGGGCGUAAAGGGCGCGUAGGCGGUCAGCACAAGUCAGUUGUGAAAUCUCCGGGCUUAACCCGGAAAGGUCAACUGAUACUGUGCGACUAGAGUGCGGGAAGGGGGCAACUGGAAUUCUCGGUGUAGCGGUGAAAUGCGUAGAUAUCGAGAGGAACACCUGCGGCGAAGGCGGGUUGCUGGGCCGACACUGACGCUGAUGCGCGAAAGCCAGGGGAGCGAACGGGG
rnacentral:rRNA from 1 species